AUAGUAGAACGGUCUGUCGCUCCGAGUAUUCGGGGAGGAAAGUCCGGGCAACGCAGAGCAGCAUACUUCCUAACGGGAAGUCGGUCGUGAGGUCGAAUGAGCGUAACAGAAAACAACCGCCUUACGUAACUGUAAGGUAAGGGUGAAAAGGCAGGGUAAGAGCCUACCGACCGUUUGGCGACAAACGGUGCCGUACGCAUUAUGUGUUGAAAGUUCAAGUAUACCGAUGUAUGAGGGUUGCUCGCCCGAGUCGGAGGGUAGAACGAUAGAGGCUGGCAGCAAUGCUAUGCCGUAGAUAAAUGACAAACAUUCCGAAAGGAAUACAGAAUCCGGCUUACAGUUCUACUAUUUUU
rnacentral:RNase_P_RNA from 1 species